rnacentral:rRNA from 1 species
GUCUAUGGCCAGAACCACCCUGAACGCACCUGACCUCAGAAGUUAAGCAGGGUUAGGCCUGGUUAGUAAUUGGAUGUGAGAUAGUGCAGUAGUACAAAGGACAAGAUU